GAGUAAUACUCUUUACAGCAUAGGCACUGCGUAGGGCCUAGAUCUACUUGAGAAAAUUUAAUUUUCUGAAACUUCAGAUCGUGAGAUGGUAUCGGAUAAUAACACUUGAUGGCUCGAGGUAAAGUGGCGUUUUAAAUAUAAACAUUACUCAAUGGACUACGAAGGAGACUUUACAAUUAAUAACAAAUCUCAAGACAGACAGUAUAUAUAUUUAUAUUGGACCUCAUUGGAAAUGGGCUGGACUCCGGCCUAAUGGGCGUUCCUGAUGCUCAUUACGUGAUGUAGACAAAGAAGCCACAACUAUCAGGAAAGAAUGUCAGGACUCAAUCGUGAAAGAGCAACAGAACUUACCAAUGAGGCCUAUUCAUAGGUAGCCAAAAAUUGUGUCACUCAUCAAGCUUCCUGCAAAAAUUAUGGAUAUGAAAUUAAUUAAAAUAUAGUGUAAAUUUUAUUUUUUUAAAGUUUUCCUCUGCAAUAAUCUCAAAAAUAAUGCUAGCAAUAUGUAGUAAUUCUUGUAGCAUUUAUGUUUAUUAAUAUUGUAUUAUUACUGCUAAUGUUUAUGUUAUUAAUAGAGAAAAAAACCCGUUUGUUGUAAAGAAAAUCUAGACAUGUAAGAUAAUAGGAUAUAACAUUUGAGGAUUAAAUUCAGAUUUAUUGAUUUUUGCCGGAUGUACAUGAUAUAGGCCUAUAGUAUAUAAAUAUAAAAUGUAUAUAUAUCACAACUUUAUUUUAAUGCUUGAAAAUAAAUAUUAAAUGGAA